GCUGGGUGUGGUGGUGCACGCCUGUAAUCCCAGCUACUCAGGAGGCUGAGGCAGGAGAAUCUCUUGAACCCGGGAGGCAGAGAUUGCAGUGAGCCAAGAUUUCACCACUGCGCUCCAGCCUGGGUGACAAAGCGAGACUCUGUCUCAA
rnacentral:SRP_RNA from 2 species